UACGGGGGGGGGCAAGCGUUGUUCGGAAUCACUGGGCGUAAAGCGCACGUAGGCGGACUCUUAAGUCGGUGGUGAAAUCCUGGAGCUCAACUCCAGAACUGCCUUCGAUACUGAGAGUCUCGAGUCCGGGAGAGGUGAGUGGAACUGCGAGUGUAGAGGUGAAAUUCGUAGAUAUUCGCAAGAACACCAGUGGCGAAGGCGGCUCACUGGUCCGGUACUGACGCUGGAGGUGCGAAAGCGUGGGGAGCAAACAGG
rnacentral:rRNA from 1 species